GCUUGUUAGCUGAGUUGGUAGAGCGCUCCACUGGAAAUGGAGAGGUUCUUUGAUUCGAUACCAGGACCAGGCG
rnacentral:tRNA from 2 species